CUGUCGUUGAGCGUUUUCAGAGGUGUGCACAUACUGGCUGGUGUUGAGGCCAUCAGAACAGGAGCCAUCAGAUACAGGGCUAAAAUGCCUCCAGCAGGAACA